ensembl:lncRNA
UGAACUCACCCGGUGAAGUCCACGUCUCUGUCAAAAAUAAAACGUCCAGUCCCGUGAACAUCUUCCAUGUUCCUGGAGACUCAAAGGAGAAUCCAGCUUUAAAAUCUCCUCCAAUGACUCCAUAGUGAAGAAUCUGAGCAUCGGUGACUUCAGGGUUUCCAUCCUGCAGAGCUGUUGGAAACAUGAACCAUCAACAGUUACUGUUUGUACUUCCUGUAAGAAGCUGCAGUCUGAUCACAACAUUCACACACAGACACACUGAGACUAAAGUCUGAAUAACAACAAUGAUUCAUGUCAAAUACAUUUUAUUGUCUAAAGUGGUGGAAAAUCUUCUUCCAGUCGACACGACUCAAAAUAUAUCUGAACAUGUUUCCUAUGCAUGAAUAAAAUGACAAUAAAAGAUGAAGAUGAACAAAACAUGACAUGUAAAUGACUCAUAACUCCUCUGUGUGGUACUUGUAGUAAUUAUAUGUUGAGAGAUUGAAGCAACAGCUCAACAUGCAAGUUUUUCAUGUGUUUCAUCCACAGGAAGUGAUGUCAUCAUUUAGUUUAA